rnacentral:lncRNA from 1 species
AACUUCUAAGCGACAUUUUUAAUGCUUUUAUGUCAUAAUUUUUGUUGUUUGAAAAGAAAAAUCUUAGGCAAUUGGCACAGAUUAGAUAUCCCUAAUAAGGAAUAUGGCAAACAUCUGGAUUGUAGAUAUUUUAUAAUACUGUAUCAGAUUCUUUUUUGAUUACGAACAUCCGUAAAUACAAACCAAAACCAGUAGAUUAAUAUCAACCAGUUUGUUUUAAUGCUGUGAAUGAAGGUUCAAGAAUAAAUAUCAAUUACUAUUUUUUACAACAUUUGCUUUUCUAUUUUCGAUUCUGUACAGAUUAAAUAUAUUAUAUGAUAUACUUUGAAUAAUUUAUUCUAUUUUAACAACUAUUGUAUUUACAGUUGGCAAUGUUUCUUGUUGUGAAUCAAAGCAACUGUCGUGUAACAAUAAUGUCGAAUUUUUGGUUUUGCUUAAAGUACAGUCUCGCCGAACUUAUCUUCUCGUACUGUAAAUGCCUAUGGCAUACAAAAUUUCUGAUGACACCAAUGGCGAAUUUUGCUUUCCUGUUAUACAGUGAUGCUUUGCAGUUUUUGGCUUUCCUUUCGAACAUUUUAUGCCGCACGCUCAAUAAUUCAUUUCUUUAUCUAUUUUAAAAGUUAAAAAUAAUUUUAUAUAUGAUUUUCGAACAGGAAUUUCUGGUUUUAUUCAUUAUUAUACAAUUAAACAUUAG